rnacentral:lncRNA from 1 species
CUGAACAACAAGUUAACUGCUGUUCCCAGUUAUAUCUGGUCUUUCCCACCCCCAAACAUACACAAAAGAUUUUUGUCAUUCUUGGCACUGGACAACAGAAGUGAUAAGACAUGCCAGCAGAACUCUAAAGGCAGAAUGUCCUUCCACCUGUUUUAUGCUGUAAGACAAACUUCCAAGUGCGAGGCAGUGUGGAGGGCUGUUUCCUUGAAUGGCAGCUGAAUGCACCAGCGGGAUCCUUGGCAGCAAUGCCCAGGCACUGAAGCUGGGCAUUCAGGAGAGCUAAAUGGAGAAAAGAAACUUGAGCAAACUGCUUCCUGGAACACUGAGAACCUGAAUGGGAAAUUAAGAAGAACCAGAUUAUUUCUAUUCUUCCACCAGCCAAGGUCAGAUUCCCAAACUCCUAUUGAUUCUAAUCUUUCCAAAACAGUGCUGUGGCAAUGUAUGAAAGUAAUAAAAAUAAUCCUUUUUCUGUUAAAAAAAAUUGCUGUUACUUGCUGUUUUGUUAUGCUUUUGCUCGAGAACUUUCCCCCCCAUCUUAAAGCAGCAACUUCAGAAUGGGGGAAUCAAGCAAAACCAUGGUGAAGAGAUUCAUUUAACUAGGACAAGUGACUUAUUCUACAUCUCAGGAGACAGUUCCUUAAGGUGAUGAGCACAAAAGGAUCCAUCUUAUACAGUGCUUGCCAGCUUCCAUAAUACUACUCACCACGAUGUUGAAAUCACCUGUUCCAGAACCAAUCCUGUCCUUUGACAAGAAGGAUUUAAUUAUCAGUAGUGGUGGGGACUGGCUGGAGAGAGGAAAAACACUUCAAGGACUCUGCCACCAUUCCUAGAUGGAGAGUGAAAAGUUUUUACCAUGGAACUCUCUAACAGUUACUCUAUGGCAGUGCCUAUUUCAAACCUCCCUUAACUUCUGAUUGUAUAGAUGUUUGUUUCAUUUGUUCAUCUGUUUGUUCACUUAGAGAUGUUUUAAGCCUUAAGAGAGAUAGUGGACAAGACAAUGCCUUGGAAAAGUACAAAGCUCAAUCCAAGUAAACUGUUUUUAAACUAGGAACUUAUGAAGCCUAAAAUAUAAAAUGUAUGUACAUGGAUAUGCUCUGAAGUGAGGUGGAGGGGUAGAAAUCGACAUGGCGAUAUUGUACUACAGCUUUGCAAGAUGUUACCAUUGGGGGAAAAUGCUUGAAGGGUACACGGGAUAUCUCUGCCUUAUUUCUUACAACUGCAUGUGAAUCUACAGUUAUCUCAAAAUAAAAAUUUAUUUAACAAUUAAUUACAAUUAGUUAACAAUUGUUAAUUGUCAAUUAA